AUGCUCAAUGACAGAAUAAACACAUGUGAUCUUCUUACCAGGAAAAGUUUUCAUCUUGACUCCACAUCAUGUGUUCUAUGUAAUGAUGAGGGCAUGGAAGACAUAACACAUCUUUUAUUCUCUUGCCCUUUUAGUCAUGGAUUCUGGUGGAAUAUUGGCGUUGAAUGGAACACAGAUAACAACAUCCAUGACAUGAUCAUUGAAGCAAAACAGAGAUAUCAACAUAGUGUUUUCAUGGAAAUUAUGACUGUGGGUUGCUGGAGUAUCUGGAAUCAAAGGAAUGGUCUGAUUUUUUAGGGUAUACCAUGCUCCAUAACUGAAUGCAGAUAUGACCUCAUCAGAACUUUCAAGUUGACAAUGCUUAGAGCGAAACCAAGUCUUAAGUAUGGCAUGUCAUCCUGGAUAGACAAUAUUUGA
rnacentral:rRNA from 1 species